GGGCCAAUCGGAAGCUGCCACGUCGACGCGCUGUGCUCUUGCCGCUGGCACGGACGUGCUCUAUGCAUAGAGCAGCGCCCUGCCAGCGGCAAGAGCGCAAUGGUGGCGGAGCGCGUCCUUGCCAGCGGCAAGGACGGACGGUGGCAAGGACGGACGGUGAGCUGCUGCUCACAGUUGGGAAUGCUCUUAUGUUAUUCUAUACUAUAAUUUUGACGCUCAUAAUCAUGAUUUUUGAUGCAGAGUAUACUAGUAGUACUAUAUUCCAAACAACAUUGUGUUCCCUUAUCCCAAUCAACAGAGAAGUGGGAACUUUUCACCUUUCAACAUAGUGAGAGAGAGAGAGGGAUAUGAUUAAGAACUGCUUCACCUUCUCCAAUCUCCAGCGACGAGGAGCAAAAUGGCUCCCCCAAACCUUCCCAUUACUGGUGGAGAAGCCCUCAACAAGAUGGCCAUUUCAAAAUCGACUCCAAGAAUCAAGCUUUUGAUUGAAAUGGAGAGAUUGGGAUUGAUAGGCAGUGCUGGGCUGAAUGACUUGAGGCACAAGAUUCUGAGCUACAGAGCUGGGGAUUUCUGCCUCCCAAUUGGUGGGAUAGAGAGAGAGAGAGAGAGAGAGAGAGGAUAUGGAAAUCCCACCUCUCAUCACAAUCUUGCUCACUGGCUUGACUGCCUCUGGCAAAAGCUCUUUCAUCAAUCUCAUGUAUGGUGUUCUUGGUAGAUUUGGCCUCACCCCUUUUGCUCAGACAUCAGGUGAAUCUUCAAAUUUCACCACGAUGUAUCUAGAAGAACACAACGUCUUGAGGUCACCUAGGAGUGGGUUCUGCGUGUACGACACGCGGGGGUAGACCAAAAUCACAUGGAGGAAGGACUCGAGGAGGUCUCAACGUGGAUGACUGAUGGCGUCAGACAUCACCAGCCUUGUAAAAGGGCGGGUGAUGAAAACAUCAAGGGAUUAAUUCAACUUAGUGAAUCAAUGGAGUUCACUAAUUCAAGAUACAUCAAUAGAAAGGUCAAUUUGGUUAUGGUUGUGACUGAUUUAUCAGAGAUUCAUAGAGCAUUCAAAUCUGGUGAUUUGGAGCCAAUUGUGGCCUUGAGAACACUCUUCCAUUUCCCACCAAUCAAGAAUUCAAGUAAGUCUUGAUAUAAUCAUUCUCUAGCUCCUCUUUUACCUUUAUUAUAUGUUCAAAUACAUUUUUAUUAAUUUAGAUAUGCUCCUCUUUUACCUUUAUUAUAUGUUCAAAUACAUUUUUAUUAAUUUAGAUAUGAAGUCUCGUGUAAAAUUUUUAA